UAAUAUGAACUAAAAUUCAAUUUCGACUUGAAAAUUGAUUACCUAUAAUCCAUAUUUU
rnacentral:tRNA from 1 species